rnacentral:rRNA from 1 species
CCCUUAGAGUUUGAUCCUGGCUCAGAAUCAACGCUGGCGGCGUGCCUCAGACAUGCAAGUCGAACGCGAAAGGUUCCUUCGGGGACCGAGUAGAGUGGCGUCCGGGUGAGUAACACGUGGGUAAUCUACCUUCGGGUGGGGAAUAACGACCGGAAACGGUCGCUAAUACCGCAUAAUGCAGCGGCACCUAAUGGUGACAGUUGUUAAAGCGGGGGAUCGCAAGACCUCGCGCCUGAAGAGGAGCCCGCGGCGGAUUAGCUAGUUGGCAGGGUAACGGCCUACCAAGGCGACGAUCCGUAGCCGGCCUGAGAGGGCGGUCGGCCACACUGGCACUGACACACGGGCCAGACUCCUACGGGAGGCAGCAGUCGGGAAUUUUGGGCAAUGGGCGAAAGCCUGACCCAGCAACGCCGCGUGAAGGAUGAAGCUUUUCGGAGUGUAAACUUCAUAAGAAUGGGACGAAUAAGGAGGGGCUAAUACCCCCUUUGAUGACGGUACCAUUUGUAAGCUCCGGCUAACUCCGUGCCAGCAGCCGCGGUAAUACGGGGGGAGCAAGCGUUGUUCGGAUUUACUGGGCGUAAAGGGCGCGUAGGCGGCGUAACAAGUCACUUGUGAAAUCUCCGGGCUUAACCCGGAGCGGCCAAGUGAUACUGUUGUGCUAGAGUGCGGAAGGGGCUACUGGAAUUCUCGGUGUAGCGGUGAAAUGCGUAGAUAUCGAGAGGAACACCUGCGGC